UACGGAGGGGGCUAGCGUUGUUCGGAAUUACUGGGCGUAAAGCGCGCGUAGGCGGCUUUGUAAGUUAGAGGUGAAAGCCCGGAGCUUAACUCCGGAACUGCCUUUAAGACUGCAUCGCUAGAAUUGUGGAGAGGUAAGUGGAAUUCCGAGUGUAGAGGUGAAAUUCGUAGAUAUUCGGAAGAACACCAGUGGCGAAGGCGACUUACUGGACACAUAUUGACGCUGAGGCGCGACAGCGUGGGGAGCAAACAGG
rnacentral:rRNA from 1 species